AGAAAGGUAAGCUAAAUAUUAAAGCUAUUAGGUUCAUACCCUAAGCAUAGGAUAGACAUCCUCCUAUCUA
rnacentral:tRNA from 1 species